UACGUAGGGACCAAGCGUUGUUCGGAUUUACUGGGCGUAAAGGGCGCGUAGGCGGCAAUUCAAGUCAUCUGUGAAAUCUCCGGGCUUAACCCGGAAAGGUCAGCCGAUACUGCGGGGCUAGAGUGCAGAAGGGGCAACUGGAAUUCUUGGUGUAGCGGUGAAAUGCGUAGAUAUCAAGAGGAACACCUGCGGCGAAGGCGGGUUGCUGGGCCGACACUGACGCUGAGGCGCGAAAGCUAGGGGAGCGAACGGG
rnacentral:rRNA from 1 species